UUUUUUUGUUUGUUUCUUUGCUGAAAUGGCAAGGAUUGAAGAUAAUUGGAUUUACAAAACAACAUAGCAAGAGCUCCCAAUUUCAGUAUUGUGACAGGUCCAUUGAUAAAACCUGCUCAGGCAGAGACCAAGUUGGAAGGAAGGAUAGGUUAUUAUUUUAGUUCUCCUGAGGUAAAAUAAAUAUUCUUAAAAACGUGCAUCCAUCCAUCCUCUUUUAAGUAGAGAGGUCAUCAGUCUCUUUCCUUAUUAAAAUGAGCACAAACUGAACAUGCAUAGAUUGAUUCUCUCUAUUCAGUUGCAGUUUGAAACUUAGCCUGCUACACAUUUUAACAGAAUUUUCUACACAUUUUAACAGACACACACUUUCUACACAUUUUUAACAGAAGCAUUUUAACAGACAUUUCUCAAUGUGGCUCUCUGACUUUAUGACAUCAGAGGAAGCAGUCUUCAACCUGGUAAAAAACGUAAAGAAAAUGCAAUGUCUACUUAUAAACUUAACAAGAAUAUCAAUGACAACUAUUUUACCAAUGAAUUUAAAGAUUUGGAGAUUUCACAUAAUAGCCAGUAGCUCUUUGACAUAAAUAUAAAGCUAUAUAAUCCACAAUUCCAUUCUUUGCUUAUUUUAUGUUUUUCUGAAGUAGUUAUUGAGCACCUAUUGUGUGUAAAGAGCUGGAAUGGACAUAAGAAUACAGAAUGGCAAUAGGUUCAAAGAAUGCCAAGUACAGGAAGAGGAAAGAUGCUGAGUUCUUGUCUGGAUUUGACUUUAAUUAGUUUUAUGACCUUGGUUAAGUCACUUCUCCCAUGUAAAUCAUUGAACACUUUUUUAUUGAGGGCUUCCCAUAGGUAGAAACAAGAAUGACUGAGGAACAAAUAAACCCGGCCUCAGCCUUUGUGGAACUGACAUGGUAGUGGGUAAGAUAAAUAUUAAAGAAUUAAACACAUAAACAAAUAUAAGUAAAGAUUAUAUAAAGUGUAACCAAAAGUAAAUAAUGUUAAAGAAUUUUUAAACAUUGAGCUUCUGAUUCAAUCGGCCAGUCAUGGAAUACUUAUCCGAGGAAGCAAAAUUUAGACUGAUACUUGAAGGAAGAAAGAUUGCUGGGUGUAAAUAACAAACGUGGAAGCGUAACAGAUCUGAGGAAGUUCAGGCCAGUGUGGUUGAAACGCAGAGACCAAACGGAAGAAGGCAAAGGAUGAGACUUACUAACCAGACACUGCCCAAAUCCUGCAAGGCCUUACAGACAUGGAGCUGUAACACUCACCGCGAAGGUCUGCAGCUUCACUCCUGAAGCCAGCGAGACCACGAACGCACCGGGAGGGAUGAACAACUCCGGACGGGAGGAACGAACAACUCCAGACGCGCCAUCUUAAGAGCUGUAACGCUCACUGCGAAGGUCUGCAGCUUCACUCCUGAAGCCAGCAAGACCACGAACCCACCAGAAGGAAGAAACUCUGAACACAUCUGAACAUCAGAAGGAACAAACUCCAGACACGCCACCUUUAAGAACUGUAACACUCACCGCGAGGGUCCGCAGCUUCGUUCUUGAAAUCAGUGAGAUGAAGAACCCACCAAUUCCAGACACAGUAACACCAGUUAUCACUGAUUGCAGUUCAUCAUAACAGAUAUAAUAAUAAUUUAAAAGUUUGAAAUAUUAUGAAAAUUACCAAAAUGUAACACAGACACAUGAAGCAUUGGAAAAAUGGCACCAAUAGUGUUGUUUGAUGUAGCAUUACCAUAAAUCUUAGAUUUGUAAAUAACAAAGUAUUUGUGAAGCACAGUAAAGCAAAGCACAAUAAAAAUGACGUGUGCUUGUAUUUUAAAAGAACAGAUUGAAUUGGGAAGGGUAGUUGAGGAACUGGAAGCAGAGAGAACAGGUACAAGAUUCACGUAGUAGUCCAAGAAAAUUAAAGCAAGUAGAAAAACUAACAGAAGUUCAGGAUAAAAGAUUUUGAGGCCUUAACUACACAUUUCCAGAAGGAAUGGAAAAAGGUCAGAAAUGAGAAUGUGGAAAUAUCCUCAGCUGAUUUGACUGUAAGUAGAAAGUGUUGGCAUAAAAAAAAUGGACGAAGCCAAAAAACUCAUGGAAUGAUGAAUAAUUAAAUAAAUUGAGGUCUCCUUAUCAAAAACAAAAAUGAAGACAUGUAGAUAGAAAUUUAUAUGUCUUUACUCUGUAAAGCUGGGAGAAUACCCAGAAGGUAUUUAGGAAGUAUGUGAUAAAAAUUUAAGAUUGGAGUUAAUGAACCAGAGAUAGGCAUGAGACACAUAAUAGGUAAUAAUACAGGUUAGCUGGUAAGAUCUUUGGAGCACAGCAAGCUUGGAUUUGAGUUAGUAAUAAUAAUUAUGCACUGCACAUUUUAGCCUUUAUAAUUUUUCACUGGUUCUUCCACUUAAUAGGCAUCUUUUAACAUCUAUUAAGUGUAGGAAAAUACUAAGAGCUGGAGAUACAGCAGUAAUAAAUAAAGUUUAUUUAAGUAAGUGUAAAGUUAAUAAAACACAGUCCCUAAUCUCAUUACUCUUACACUGAGAGAUUUUCACAUUCAAAAUUUACUGAGCACCUAUUGGGUACAGAGGACUUGGAUGGGCAAAUGAAUACAAUAUGUCUCUUGCUGUGUUGUUGGAACAAGUGGAAUGCUGGGGACAUCCAAAGAAAGGAGACCACAUGGAGGAGGUGAUAUUGGAUCUUGAGGGAUGAUUAAGAGUCAUCAAACAAACGACAUUUAUAUAUAUAUUAUAAUAUCAUCUCCUGUAAUCUCGCUCACACCCUGUGAGGACCAAGUAAAUAUAUUAAAGAUGUAUUUCUUAUAGAAUAUUCUGAGCAAGAUGAGAGAAAGGAUAGUAUGAUAGCCCUGUCAGUCCUUGUAUUCCUCUCCCUAAUUUCACUGUUUUGUUGAAAGUGUUUGUUUGGUUUUUUUAAUAGUUUUUAUUUUGUAUUUAGCUCUAGACAAAAGAACAGUACUAUUCCUUGAAAACAUUUAUUCUUUAGGGAUAUGAAGUGGUAUGUUUGCCCAACAAAAUACACAAUUUCUAAAAUAUUAUGACUAAUUCAAGCAAAUGUAUUCUCUAAAGAAAAAUUUCCACUUCACUUUGUCU
ensembl:lncRNA LINC02552 long intergenic non-protein coding RNA 2552